rnacentral:rRNA from 1 species
GACAGAGGGUGCAAACGUUGCUCGGAAUUACUGGGCGUAAAGCGCGUGUAGGUGGUUUCGCAAGUCAGGUGUGAAAGCCCGGGGCUCAACCCCGGAAGUGCACUUGAUACUACGGAGCUUGAGUACUGAAGAGGAGAGCGGAAUUCCCGGUGUAGAGGUGAAAUUCGUAGAUAUCGGGAGGAACACCAGUGGCGAAGGCGGCUCUCUGGGCAGACACUGACACUGAGACGCGAAAGCGUGGGUAGCAAACGGG